GAAGUUCACGUUUUGUCCCUUCCAGG
rnacentral:sRNA from 1 species